rnacentral:lncRNA from 10 species
UCUCUAUUUUCAGACUUGGGCAAACUCUACUCCUCAAUUUGUGGAAAAAUCUCAGUAUUGAUCUAUGCAUGACCAGUGCAAAGGCUUUUAUAUGGACCAACCCCAGUCAGAAAGCAGGCACUUGGAAACCUCGUGUCUGUGAAGAACAAGGGGUGGAACCUCUGAAAUCCUCCCCUUUGAGAUUUCCCAUGCAUUCACACAUCCUUCUGUGUGCCUUGAAAAUGUAAGAAACAGAUGUGGGCAAGAGGCAGCCAGAAGACUCCGGCACAGGCCCUGCAACCUAUCUGCUCACAUCCUGCUUGGGAGACAUGUCAGCGAUAAACUCCAGGAGUAGUCACGAGGGCUGACAGGGGUUCCUGCCCGGCUCUGCAUCCAACAGCCUGGUGGAGCCUAGGCUAAGUCUACAAAAAUACGGAGCUCAGAGCUCCUACCUAGAUUUCUUUGCUUUAUUCAGGCAGAAUUGACAAAUUAAAAGGUAUGUAUUUAA